AUGAACGCUGGCGGCGUGCCUAUUACAUGCAAGUCGAGCGAACAGACGAGGAGCUUGCUCCUCUGACGUUAGCGGCGGACGGGUGAGUAACACGUGGAUAACCUACCUAUAAGACUGGGAUAACUUCGGGAAACCGGAGCUAAUACCGGAUAAUAUAUUGAACCGCAUGGUUCAAUAGUGAAAGACGGUUUUGCUGUCACUUAUAGAUGGAUCCGCGCCGCAUUAGCUAGUUGGUAAGGUAACGGCUUACCAAGGCAACGAUGCGUAGCCGACCUGAGAGGGUGAUCGGCCACACUGGAACUGAGACACGGUCCAGACUCCUACGGGAGGCAGCAGUAGGGAAUCUUCCGCAAUGGGCGAAAGCCUGACGGAGCAACGCCGCGUGAGUGAUGAAGGUCUUCGGAUCGUAAAACUCUGUUAUUAGGGAAGAACAAAUGUGUAAGUAACUAUGCACGUCUUGACGGUACCUAAUCAGAAAGCCACGGCUAACUACGUG
rnacentral:rRNA from 1 species